UUUAAAUACACCCCUUUACAUUUUCUAGAACAUAUGCAUCAUAAUCAAAAAUUUCUCAUCAAAGCCUAAGGAUCCAUAUCUUCUAAGAGAUAUGGCAACCCAAAAGCUUGCUACGAUGUCAUUUGUUGUUUUGGUGAUAUUCACAUGCAUUGUAUCAACAACGAAAGGAGACGUUUUGAACGUGCAUUGUGUCCGACCAUGCUCUGAUACUUAUGACGAUGAGUCAUGUUAUAAUGAUUGCAUCCGAGAGAACCUUGGUGCUGGGUUUUGUUACCCAAAGCUACCUAGCACCGAUAAAGAUUGUUGUUGCAAUGUUUGACCAAGAAAAGAGAAAUAUUUGUUUUUUCUUAAUAUAAGAUUGUGUAACAUUUUAUUGAAAUAUUUAAAGAAAAUUUAAUAUUUUACAAGAUCUCUUUCGUUCA